UCUUUUUCUAUCUUUGUCUCUGUACUCUACCUUCUCUCUACGUUCUCUGCUUCCUUCCUCUCUGUCUUUUGAUUCCCUACUCUUUCUGUUUAUGUCUCGUCAUUUCCAUUUGUUGCCACUUGCUGUUAUAGCUGUGAUGACUUUAUGUAGUUUUCAUUCCUUCAGCUUUGUUCUCUUUUUUUGUUUCUUGUUUUCUUUUGCAUUUCACUUUUGUUAUCUUUGUUUUGCUUUUUGUUUUCUUUUGCAUGAUGAUAUUUCAGUAUAGUAUGAUCUAGAUUUCGGGUAAUAUGAUGGGGGAAGCUCGUGAAGUGUUUUGGUUUCCCCAUGAAUUCGUCCCUAAAAGAUUUGGCAGCAAUAUUUAUCUCUAGAUGUUGAAGAACUGACAAACUAUUAAUUAUCUUGUUCAUUACAUGUUAUUAGAAUCCCAAUGAGAAUUUCAAUAGGUGUAAGAAAUGGCCAUUUCUUUUAUUAUUACUGGUGUAGUGAAGAGGUGAUUUCGAUUUUCACAAUCUGUAUCAUGAGUUUCAUCCUUCUCAUAUUGAUUUAUGCUGCACCAUAGUAGAGAUCAUUGCACCCAAUCUUGCUUCUUCUGCAUUAAGUUCGGAAUGUGCCUAUUUCAUGGAAGUUACAUGAUUGUCAUGUAUCAUUGAAUCUGUAAUUUGUUCAAACUCUGGCUUUAGUACCAUCUGUAAUCUGAAAAAUCAGUUUUGGUUCAUGUAAUGAUGAUAAUUAUGAUCCACAUCAAUGUGAUCCAUGUAGGUCGCUCAUCCAUCAGGGUGUGCAUAACAAAGAAGUACCCUUGUACUUAAUUAUUAACAUGUUUUAGCAUGGUUAUCUUUUGAUAGAGCUUGUAAUGCUGAGAUAUGUUAGAGUUAACAUGCAAAUGCUGGAGUUAGUUCUUUCUCUCCUUCAAUGUCUCAUGGUGCUGAGGGCUUUAAUGUUUGGCUCAACCAUUCCUAGAACAAGAAGCCAACAUGUAAUUGCCCAUGUCUCCAACUUAGGCAGAUAACAAUAUUUAUUAGUCUUGGUUUCAUUGGUUGGGGCUAUUCUUUCAUCAAAUAACAGCAGCACUUUUUUUGCAGCAAUCGCAUGUCUCAUGAUAUGUGAUCAAACCAUGUAGUUUUUCCAUUCAAUCUAUUAGUGAUUAUGUACCGAAGAUUUCCUUUGGACAAGAGGAAUAAAAACCUUUCUUUUCUGAUCGUUACAAGUUUUACAUAUGCCACUCGUGUUGUGUGACUGGUUACCUUUAAUAGUAUACCAGAGACCUGAAAUAUGAUUUUUUUUUUAUAUUUCUACCUUAGAUCAGUCUUAGACAACCUUGAAAAUCCUGAUUUAAGUUUGGAUAUUCAGGUGCAUGUUGUGAUCCGGGAUUUUUGAGCACUAACAAGGCAGUAUGCCGAUUCUGAAAUUUCAAAUGUGAUCAGCUUAAGUGAUCUUCAAUUUUUUGUUUAGCAUAUCGUUAAAUUCUCCAAGAAGCUUGUACUGUCUACCUAACGAGAACGGAAGAGUUUACCCUGUCAAGCCAACCACAUUUUCCUACUGUAUUUGUCCCAUGCUAUGCUUUCAUAAUAUACUGAAUUAAGAUACAUAUUUUGGGCAUAAUUGGUUUUCACUGUUCUGCAAGGAACUAAAAUCCUUGUGUUCAUGUGCAUGAAUGCCACAUCCAGUGGGGAAUGCUAUGCAGCUUAGGAUCCUCGUAGCUGGCUCUGUGGUCCCCCCCCCCCAGGUGGCUAGCCCAUAGAUGGGCACCUUAGCUGAGGUACCUGCCUUGCCUACUCAUGGACUGAGAGCGUAUCGCCCUUGGGCCAUGGGAAAAUUUGUCUUUCUACCCUCUAUAAGGGGAGAAUCGAGAAUAAUAAACAAAAAUUGAAGAUAGUUAAAUUUUUCUGGGAAAGAAAUGAAAAAAUUUCAAGAAAUCUUCUCACGUCGAAUUUCAAGGAUAGGAUUCAUUCCGCUGUUUUUAGAGAGGUUAAAAAACACUAUAUUCGGGUCAUUUACAGCCCAUUAUGUGUGUGGGUGUUUCGAAUAUGAAAAUAAAUGCGUAUUGGGCACCUCAAAACCAAGGUGCCACCUAGGAAAUUGCAUCAUGCUGGGGCACUCUGCCCCCUAGGUCGCUUGGGCACAGCCUGGCCCCUUUUGAAACAUUGAUGAUGGUGAGUGUUUUUGACGUAUGAUGAAAUAAAACAUUAGAUGAGAUGAAUGACUUGUUUAGUGGUAUCAUGAGUUUAGGUGAUAGUGAGUACUACGAAGGCAUACUUGUGGAUGGGUUUGAUGCCUAGGAAGCAUCUGGAGGAGGAGGUUCACUUGAAUUCACUUGUAUGAACAUUGGGGGAUUAAGUUGGGAUUCUGGAGAGAGAGGAGUUUGGAGUUUGGAGUUUGGACAUUGCAUACCAAUCUAAAAUAUAAAAUUCUCCUCUUGAGUAAUACCUUGAGCAGACUCUUAUGGAAUGGAGUAGCUUACAUCUUCCCAUAAAGUACCUCUUUGGAAAUGUAAUACCUUCUUCAACUUGUGGCCAAAGCAUUUACACCCCUUUUCGAGGUAGAUAAUCCUAAAAAUGCAUUUUGACAGACUUGGUAUAUUUUGUUUUUAUAUUUCAUUAAGUUUAUUAGGUUUGUUUAAGUUAAAAAAACUCAAUAUAACGCUAAUAUAGUGUAAUAAAUAUCAUGGGACUCAUUUUUCAAUCACCAUGGGGUACUUCAUGUGUUUGUAAUGAUAUGAUAAUGUGUAGAGGAAUAACUGCAUUAAUAGUCGAUAAAAAAAAUUGUUAAAAGUUAUACUUCCCUAGUAUAAACUUCCACAAGCAUGCACAUAGAAUGGACAUAUCUAUCCACCAUUUACCAUUGACAUACCAAUACGAUGCACCAUUUUCAUAAUGGAUUUUGCCAACAUCCUACACAUGGCCAUUUCAAUUUAGUGUCCCUAGUUGUAUUUUUAAAGUAUCCGUAUCUUAACGAAUGUCAUCCUCUAAGAUGUGCCGAAACAUACCCAUAACCUUUGUCAAUCUAGUGUACCAGUAAUUGUAUCCAUGCCCCAUAUGAACUCUAGGUGAUUAUAUUUUGAUCCAGUGUUGUAGGACUUAAUGGGUAGUUCUGAGACCUCCUAGAGUUGAUCCAACCUAUCCAAAUUUAUGGUGAAACUUGGGUUUUCUUGAAUCUUGGCUAAAAACUGUUUGACUUGGGUUUUGUUUGACUUUGCUUGGGCCCAACUAGGCUGAACUAGUCAUCUUUUUGGAAUAAAGAUGAGCAAUGAGCGGAAAUUCAGUCGCCUUGCUGCCUAGGUGGCCUGGCUGACAAACUGCGUAGAAGGUGGGGUCUGGGCUGGCAUGCCUAAGGUGGGCGCCUAGGCAGUCUGGGCGCCCACCUAGUGCCAUCCCUUAAAAGAAAACAAGAAGAAAGAAAUUAAAAUCCACCCAAACAAAAAUAAGGCCUGGUAUUGCCCUUCUCUCUCUCUCUCUCUCGCUCUCUCUCAGGUCCAUGCGCUCACUCUACAUAUGAGAAGUAGAAGAAGAGGAAGAAGAAGAAGAAGAUGGACUCCAAGUGUUCAAUGCGUCACCAGAAAAAAGAGAGGUUAUAUAUGCUUUCCUACAAGAGUUCCUCCUUGGUCGAAGAGCCAAGCCUGUGCAGGAAGCAAACAAAAGUUGCGCGAAGGUGAGCUUGGAACCGUACAAUAUGAUUGUGCAACCUCUCUCCCUGUCCUAUGAAACCGCAUUGUUGAGGUGAUGUUGUGGUUGCACCUGUUUUCGUGCGACCUUGGUUCUGUGUUGCCUUGCUUGUGGCUGACUGCAGCCUCAAAUCUUGCGUGGGGCAUGACUUUGCAUCCGGAUGUCAGAUUUUGGCGAGCCUUAUAUGGUUUUGGGCUAGCUCGCGAAGAGGAACGCAACGAGCAGAUAAUCUAGAUGGCUGCAUUGAUGUUCCUGUGAAGCGUGGGGAUAGUGCUCUUCAUAUGACAUGCUUUGAUGGUUUCUUGCCCUGUGUCCAGCUGUUGUUGGAGAGAGGAGCAAACUUGGAGACCAGGGAUUUAAAUGGGGCGAAUCCUCUUCAUAAUGCUUGUGGAGGAGGCAUAACCCCGACUCUCUCAAAUUACAUUUCUCAUUCUUCCCAACAUCCACUUAGUUCCUGGCCUGCUUGAUAUCUUGUAGGAUCCGCUGAAGUUGUUGCAUUUUUGAUAAAUACUGCUCCAUACUUGGAGGUUUUCAAGAGGAUACUAAACACUACUGAUAGAGAUGGUGACACUGUGAGAGAAUGCCAAAACUAUCACGUGUUAUUUUGUUUGUGGAUAGCUUACCCUUGUGUUGAUUGAUUAUGUGUGAUGAUCGGUCCAUCCAGCCUCUUCACUAUGCGGUUUCUGGAGGGUACUUGGAAGUGGUGCAGCUCUUAGUUAGAGAAGGGGCUUCUCUCACUGCUGCAAAUGUUAGGGGAAAGGUUCCUGCAGUGCUUGCGCAGCCAGAGUCUGAAGUCAGACGCUUCUUGGAUGAAGCUGCUGCUGCUGUUACUAGUGCUUCAAAUUCUCACUAGGCUUUCUUGGGUUCUUGGUUUUUCCAGAGGGAGAUCCAUCAAAUAGUUAUUAUCAUUCAUCGGGUCUCAUGUAUUCACAUGUCCCCAAAUAGUUUUUGACAGCCAUUUAGGUUGUUUGGCACAUUGGCCAUUUCUUAAGAGUGAAUUUUAUUAGAUGGUUUGGCAUGUUGGCCAUAUCAAUUACUGGAAAUGUUUUCUAUGACCCCCAGCUACUUGAGGAAAUGGAAAGUGCCUUCAUUAAGUGCAUGAUACGUGCAGGGGUAAAGAAGUUCCAUACUUACUGUGAUUUUGGAUGGAGAUUCCUAAAGUAGAGAUUGUGCACCAUUGCAUGAUUGUAAUCAUGGGCUCAUGAUAUUGAGGUGAGAACAGGUCUUAAUGUCCAGGUGCAAUUCAAUGAUGGUUUUUCUA